UACGUAGGGACCGAGCGUUGUCCGGAUUCAUUGGGCGUAAAGAGCUCGUAGGCGGCUGUUCAAGUCGAACGUGAAAACUCGGAGCUCAACUCCGAGCCUGCGUUCGAUACUAGAUGGCUAGAGUCUGGUAGGGGGAUCUGGAAUUCCUGGUGUAGCGGUGGAAUGCGCAGAUAUCAGGAGGAACACCGGUGGCGAAGGCGGGAUCCUGGGCCAACACUGACGCUCAUGCACGAAAGCGUGGGGAGCAAACAGG
rnacentral:rRNA from 1 species